rnacentral:rRNA from 1 species
CGCAUCUGUGCAUGCAGCAUAUCAAUAAGCGGAGGAAAAGAAACUAACAAGGAUUCCCCUAGUAACGGCGAGUGAAGCGGGAAGAGCUCAAAUUUGAAAUCUUAAAGGGUUUCCCUUUACGAAUUGUAGUUUAAAGAAGUGUUUUCUGUUGAGGUUUUGGUAAAAGUUCUUUGGAAUAGGACAUCAUAGAGGGUGAGAAUCCCGUAUUUGACCUUUACUUUCAACUUUGUGAUACACUUUCAAAGAGUCGGAUUGUUUGGGAAUGCAGUCCAAAAUGGGUGGUAAAUUUCAUCUAAAGCUAAAUAUUGGCGAGAGACCGAUAGUGAACAAGUACCGUGAGGGAAAGAUGAAAAGAACUUUGAAAAGAGAGUUAAACAGUACGUGAAAUUGUCAAAAGGGAAGCGUUUGACACCAGUGUUGUUUUUCUGAAAAUCAAUUAAAGAACUGUUUAUGCUAAGCUGUUUAGACUUUAUCAGCUAAUCUGUUUAGUUUUGAGCUUUUCUUUAAUGCACUUUUCAGUUAACAAGUCAACAUCAAUUUCUUUUGCUGUAAAAAAGCUUGAGGAAGGUGGCUUGAGAUUCGUCUUAAGUGUUUAUAGCCUCUUGCCUAUGCAGUCGGAGAGAUUGAGGUCUGCAGCGUAGAUCCUUCGGGGCUAAAUGCAUUUGUGCUAAGUUAUAGCAUUUUAUAGACAACUUGUUGACUAUGAUUUGUCUUGUAGCUUACUCGCUUAUGUUAUUUUACCUACGCUUAGGAUGUUGACAGCAGUAUAGACUGU